UUCAUCCCAAGAAACCCUGAAUUUCCCUAAUCUCUAAUCACUGCAAAAUAAAAAAGCAAUAAUCUCUGAAAAAUAUGUAUUUCACGUUCGUAUACCCUUACAUGUUUCGUCGUUUCCAUUCGCCACUGUUUCCGGUUCUCUCGUUAUUCAGAAAAAGCAACUCAGCUCUCUUCUUCAAACCCAUGAUGUCUCCCGAUGAAAAGCUGCUUGCGGUUAUGGGUUUUAUUAUGUUACUAGUGUGCCCCGCACUCUCCAUUUAUAUUGAUGUGUUUCGUAGCACACAAGUAGUGGUUGAUGCAUGGGAAGUCUUAAUCUUUGCCGUACCUUUUAUAGCAUGGAGUGUAUGGUUUCUGGCAUGUUCCAUCUUUUGCAGGAAUGGUAAUAUGGAAUGAGAGUAACUUCAUUAGGUGGUCCUUCAUAGGCUUCACCAUUUCUGCCUACAUAUACGGGGCUUCCACAUUUCUGUUUACUAUGAUGAGGUUUGUAAUUAAUUACAAAUCAGGUGAGCUAAAUCUAAUCUUGGGUGUCUUUAUUAUUUGUGCUGGGUUGCUGUUACUUUUGACAUUUCUCUGGGUACUACACUUGAAGUUGAAGCCUCUCUUGAUGAAGUUUUGGCGGCUUACUGGUUCCUCCUACUUUGCAUCUAAGGCAAAACUGUCAUAAUUGGUUACCUAGUUUAAGUUGAACGUGACACUCCAACAUUUUCUUUUAGUUAUUUUAAUUUGUGUAUAUGAUAUGCUCGGUGAUCCAACCCAUAUUUUACGAGAACCUGUUCUAGGUAAGGGAAAAUCUGAUCCUACCUGAUUAAACUUGAAGUAGAUUGGAUCACUUGCUGAUUUUGAAUUUCUAACAGUUCAACCCAAUGACAUAUCAUUAUUAUUUUUCUCCA